UGAAAAAGAAAAUUACUGGAUUCUGCACCUGGGACAGGGCAACACUGGAUGUACGUACAGAGUGGGGAAUGAGAGGCUGGAAAGCAGUGCUGUGGAAAGGGAUUUGGGGGUCCUGGUCAACAGCAAGUUGAAUAUG